UCCUGGAGACCUUGAAAAAGAUGUUUGGAAAAUGACUUCUUUCUUCUGUUUGAUUGCUAGAGUAAGCAAAAUCUUCCUGUCAGUUUUGCUGAAAGUGGCAGCACAUCACUUCAGUUACCCUGAAAUACGACCUACAGCCUUUGGGGUUGUCACCAAGCAAUCCAGCUCUCUGGGAAUGCAGCUGCUCAGAUUCUGACUGUCCUUUGGGGUGAGGUAGUAGGUUGUAUAGUUUUAGGGUUAUGCCCUGCCUGUCAGAUAACUAUACAACCUACUGUCUUUCCUGAAGUGGCUGUGAUACCAUCGCUGGAAAGGUCUUCAAAAGACAAAGCAAAUAUUUAUCAACUCUUAACAUUCCCUGGUGGCUCUCUCUCUACAUGUUGGAUUUGGUUCUGGGAGCAAGCUUAUGAAAGCACACAAAUGUCCUUAGUGUGUUUAGAUUCCUGUGUUUCCCCAUUCAGGUUCAAAAGCGGAGUGGGGAUGGAAGUGACAGGGCACAGAGGUACUGCCCAGCCUGCAGCAGGAUUGCCCACACUCAGCUUUCUCAAGCUGCCAUGGAACAGCUGACCCCUUGCUCCUUUAGUUGGUGACAUUUGUGUUCACACUCAGUGGCAAAUCCCACUUUUGAUUCAGCAGCAAUUUAAAUCCACUUUGCUUAGGCUGUUUGAGAAGCUAUGAAGAGAAAAAAACUAG